rnacentral:tRNA from 1 species
GCCAGUGUGGUGUAGUGGUUUGAGUAUUGGACUAUGACGCUGGAGACCAGGAUUUGAUUCCCUGCUCAGUCA